rnacentral:rRNA from 1 species
CAGUCGCACCUGCGGGUAAUCAGCCUUUUGGGCAUGAUUCUGUGGAGCGUGAGGAGUUAAACGCCUUCAUGCCUGCAUAUUCGUGUACUUUGGGUGUACUUGCCCGUGUGGUUAGUUAACAUCAAUUUUGGUUAUCAUAAAAUGGCUGGAGGAAUGUAGCUUCGAUUUCGAUUGAAGUUGUUAUAGCCUUCGGCAGAUGUGAUUCGUUCGGGAUUGGAGGUA